AACGCGGUGAUUACAAACUAAAACAAGGAAGACACAAUGGCAAAAGCAUGCACAGAUAACUUUGUCUGGAUGGACGACGAGAUGGAGUUGCUACAGCAACAGAUCUACACUUAACUUCAAAUCAACAGCAGAACUGAAUCGUGCUCUCAGGAAAACCAAGAUUCCAUCACCAGGAACAGAUCAGCAGAAGAGAAAAUGGCAGAAACAUAAAUACGCUGGAUGACGCCACUCUCUGGAUCACUGCAGACAGCUACGUCCGGCGUGGGGCUGAGCGAGCGACAGAGAUCAUGGGGAACAACCCUGGUGUUGAUAUCUACAAUGGGAAGGGCCUUCUCCCCCUCUUCAUCCAGUCUCCAAAAGCCUGAGCAGUUUGGAUGUCCUCCUCAUCCACUGUGGCGUGAAUGACCUGGGAGAUGUCUCAAGGGUCAACCUCAUCACAGCAAAAGAGGACCUGCACCAUCUCCACCAGCAGCAUCCAGACAUGAAGAUCAUCUUCUCUGGCACCACCCAGAGAUGCAGGUGAAAGGCUGCUGCCAGUCCGGGGAAGAUUGAAUAGUGUUAUAGCUACACAUGUUUAUUGUUUAAGUGGCACCUUUGUACAUCACCCUCACACAAGGUUUGACACUCCUGGGGCCUCAUUUAUAAAAGAGUGCUUAGGAUUCAUACUAAAAGUUGAUGUGCGCCCAAAGGCUGAAAAUGGCGUGCGCCAAAAAAUAAUCUGAUUUAUAAAACCGUGCGCACGCACACUGCAUGCAAUGUUCUCUUUAUAAAUCACAGACCUCCUGGAGUUGUGCGCACCCAGAUCCGCCUCAUAUUCCGCCCUCUACACGCCCUAGUUCAACCAUAAAUGGUCAUGCAAAUCACCUCAUGAAUGCGAUCUGCAUAUAAAUAAGCCGGCAUGCGAGUGUUCUCUUGUUGUUUGAGUCACGGCGACGGGUGAGAAACGAACCAAAAAACGGAAUUUCUCUGAGACUGAGCUAGAGACCCUUUAACGGGAGGUGGAGGACUGAAGAAAGAUUUUAUUUGGUGGCCACAGCAGCAGGAUCACUAAUAAAAGAAAGCAAAAAAAAGUGGCAACACAUCAACGCUGCUGAUGCUGUCAGCUGUGUCUGUCACGGACAGUGACAGAACAAAAAAAAAAAAGUGGUCUGAUCUAAAGGUAGACCAAAUAUUUCUACUCCUUUACCAACAUGUGGUUAAUGUGUUGCUUUUAAAUUUGAGGAUGUUUGACAUUGAUGUGCGACAUAAAGAAUCACAUUUAUUAAAGGUGGAGGCAAAAAGGAGUAUGUGCCAGUGUCAUCUUGCGAAAUUACGCACGAGGGUCACCGCAGUAUUUAUAUGUUUAUGGCAAUUAAUCUGAUCAUACACCCGGCCUGAAUUACAGCAUGAACCACUGGUAUCCCUGUCCCAAAAUACAAUGUGUAAUUUUAAAUACAAUUCAAAGAUGAAAGUGUAAUAGGCGAACACGUUUCUUCAUGCCAGUUUUGUCAUGAACAGCACAUGUCUAAGUAGGGCUGAUGAAAUGAGUGUAACAGUUGUACUUAAUGGCUGUAUUUCGAGACAUGAUAAAUGCACUGGAAAUAUUUAGCUAAAUAAAUAAAUAUAUUCCAUGCAGUCGCGCCAUCCUCUCCCCCUCCUGCGCUCACAGAGUGGACAAUGAGACGUUAGAGGCAGUGCGGAUUAAAUACGUAUUUAGAAAAAAUUUCAAUUCAGGAUUUGAGUUGGAUUUUACAACGUUUUUAUGAAACAAUUAUCACUCACUCCAAGCGCAAAAUAAGGCCACUGGAUUUAAUUUCAAUGAUAACGUGGAUCUAAGGUGGAUAUAGCAUGACAUUAAAUUUGUGUGAGACAUCAAUAAAAAUCCGACUCCACUUCUCCACCUCGCUGUCUGCGUCGCUACUUCCCAGUGUCUUCCAAAAUGUGCGCACGCAUGACUCAGAGUUUGCUUACAGGUGCGCACAUUCUCCCGCCAAGUUUAUUUUUUAUAAAUCACAACCUUUGCGUGGUAAGUGGCGUACGCCACUUUCAAGCCCCAUUUUGUGCGUAAGCAAGCUUUAUAAAUGAGGCCCCCGGUCUCCACUAGGCGAAAUUCUAUUUUUUUAAACAGUUUAUUUGAGUCCAUUUAGUCCAGGGGCCAUGGCAGAUUUUGGUAUCACUUAAAGGGACCAAACAAUUUCGGUAUUUUUACUUCCUCUAUGUCUCUAGUUUACAUUUUGGUAUGAUAGACCUGCCUAUCUAGUAGCUUAAUAAAAUUUUUUGGAUGAUCUUUGGGUCCUCCCCAAAAUUGAAAAUAGUCAAAAUGGAGGCUUCUCCAACAGGGAUGGUGUGUGCCUUAUCACAUGAAUCUCGGGAAAUAAUUAUCAGAAUGUCACCAAAUUCAGACAGUUGCUGCACACAAUGCAAAAGCUGCCUUUACAAUUAAAGUAAGGAUAGUGCAACAGUCAGUGAAAAAGCUACUUCCGCAGUCCCUGUAUAAUGGAGGUAAGGUGUAAAAUGUACAGGAGCCAUUAUUCAUUGUCAGUCCUUGUGUUUGAGACAGUUUACACUUCUAAAGUCUUUUCAAGUUAACAGAUGCUUGGUUUACUUUGGUCACUAUGAAAGAGACAAUAAGGCAAACUGACAGUAUUUGAAUGUAAAUUUGUUAACAUUAUAUUAUAACAAAUAUACAAAUAUAUAUAAACAAAAAUAACACUCAUCACAUAAGGACUAACAAAAUGAAAAUACUUUAAAACAAACUGUCGGACAUGAACACUGUUUCACUGUUGCUUAAGUCCAGGGGCCAAGGGGCUAAUUUUCACAAAUUGGUAUCACUUAAAGGGACCAAACAAUAUUGGUAUUUUUGACUUCCUCUAUGUCUCUAGUUUACAUUUUGGUAUGAUAGACCUGCCUAUCUAGUAGCUUAAUAAAAAAAUUUGGAUGAUCUUUGGGUCCUCCCCAAAAUUGAAAAUAGUCAAAAUUGAGGCUUCUCCAAAAGGGAUGGUGUGUGCCUUAUCACAUGAAUCUCGGGAAAUAAUUAUC